rnacentral:lncRNA from 1 species
AUAGAGAUGUUGAUAUGUACAUAUUGGAGAGUUGCUAUGUAUGUGGAAAUGAACUUGUAAAUCGUGUAUUACAUUUUGAGAGAUGAAAAUGUAAACGUGAUAAAGAUAAAUGUUGAAUGUGAUGUAAUAGAUAGAAUUCUCUCUUUUGUUCACUACUUGUGUCUUGCUCUCGUUUGUAUUGCACUUGUGGUGCUUUAUGUAUAUUGUUUUAGUUUGCCUGGGCAACUUGAUGUACAUGACUUUGUUGUUUAGCCUUGGGCGGACAUGGAAGGUCCUGUCUGUUCGGCGUCUGUUCGACGUGCCCGAACCGACCAAACUAGCGGUCCCGGGGCAUGACAAUUUAAGGGAGUUUAGAUGGACCCUGAAUUAAUUAUAAAUAACUUGGAGUGAGAUUAGAGUGGAAACAAGGUUUCUGGAGCAAAACAUG